AAUGGAGUCAGUUUCCCACGACUGGUCUCUUCCAUCCAAACCUGUGCUGAUGUCCUUUCCUUAUUCAGAUAUAUGAUCUUUUGUGACAACACUGAGACCAGCUGUGUCAACAUGACCAAGUUGUUUGCUACAGGGAAACUUUGCUGGGAAAUAUAAUACUACAAACCUGUAAACAACUUCACUAUUCUCUUUUAUUGGAGACAACUGUCUGUUCACCUGGCCAAGCUCUCACUCUCAGGUUCUGCAAAAACCACACAGAGAAAGAAGGAGGGCACAUGACGGGACCUGUAACCCAUGUCUACAACACACCUGAAAGACAGGGAACACGCAACCCUCAGAGUAAGGAACAGACAUCUGAAGCCCAGGGGGGCGGU